UACGGAAGGCAGCAGGGGGAAUAUUGCACAAUGGGCGCAAGCCUGAUGCAGCCAUGCCGCGUGUAUGAAAAAGGCCUUCGGGUUGUAAAGUACUUUCAGUCGUGAGGAAGGUGUUAAGGUUAAUAACCUUAGCAAUUGACGUUAGCGACAGAAGAAGCACCGGCUAACUCCGUGCCAGCAGCCGCGGUAAUACGGAGGGUGCGAGCGUUAAUCGGAAUUACUGGGCGUAAAGGGCACGCAGGCGGUUAAUUAAGUUGGAUGUGAAAUCCCCGGGCUUAACCUGGGAAUGGCAUUCAAGACUGGUUAGCUAGAGUCUUGUAGAGGGGGUAGAAUUCCAUGUGUAGCGGUGAAAUGCGUAGAGAUGUGGAGGAAUACCGGUGGCGAAGGCGGCCCCCUGGACAAAGACUGACGCUCAUGUGCGAAAGCGUGGGGAGCAAACAGGGAUUAGAUACC
rnacentral:rRNA from 1 species